AGUCCUGGGGCUCCCCUACGUCAAUUCAGCCUGAAAUGAGUACCUGGUGCGUUGGGAAAAGAGAAUGGCGGCUGGACAUGGUACAGCCCAGCCACCCCCUCAUGCGCCGGAGUCACCCUGCAAGGUUGACUACGGCCUGGCUACGUUUCCUAAAGUCGGCCGUCCCCCAGAUGAACAGGAGACAAAAUGAAGAGCCAUCCCUUGUGAGUGCAGUUAAAGUGAUCGGGGCUCAACAACAAAAAGACGGACAAAUUUCCACCGGAUCGAAGACUGUGGUGUGUAAAUAAAUGUGUUGAUAUAGUUGCUUGGU